rnacentral:rRNA from 1 species
UACGGAGGGAGCUAGCGUUGUUCGGAAUUACUGGGCGUAAAGCGCACGUAGGCGGCUUUGUAAGUUAGAGGUGAAAGCCCGGAGCUCAACUCCGGAACUGCCUUUAAGACUGCAUCGCUUGAAUCCAGGAGAGGUGAGUGGAAUUCCGAGUGUAGAGGUGAAAUUCGUAGAUAUUCGGAAGAACACCAGUGGCGAAGGCGGCUCACUGGCCCGGUACUGACACUGAGGUGCGAAAGCGUGGGGAGCAAACAGG